AACGGCCAUACCAUGCUGAAUAUACCGGUUCUCGUUAGAUCACCGAAGUCAAGCAUCAUUGGGCGCGGUCAGUACUUGGGUGGGUGACCACCUGGGAACACCGCUUGCCGUU
rnacentral:rRNA from 1 species